UGGGAUUGAUGCAGUUUCACU
rnacentral:piRNA from 1 species